rnacentral:hammerhead_ribozyme from 1 species
GUCCAGCUGACGGGUCCUAAAUAGAACGACAUGCGCAUCGUGGAU